AGAGAGCCAACACUUUGGGAAGGACAACUUCCCACCCCAGAGCUGCCUGCUCUGCUCAGGGAGUCCCUGCUGGUCCAAGGGGGUCGGGAGAAGCAGAGAUUUUCCCAGGACUGGGGCUGAGCACUCCUGGACCCUGCCUCAGCCAUGGGAAUUGUGACUCCGGAGCUGCUGAGGCUCGUCCCAGCUUUCCAUGGGGAAAAAUCCCCCAGAAGAAUGGAGUUUUUCCCUGGGAGAGAAAAUCCAUCCCCAAGUCCCUAAGAGGAACCAGAGUGCCGGGAAGCAGCUCUCGGGUGGUCCCGGCCCCGCUGCUGCGCCCAAGGGGAGGAGGGAUGCUGAGGAUCUGGAUCCCCCCGGGAAUCCCGUUCCACCCUCCCGGCACUCGGAUUAUUGAAUGGAGACAGCAAGGAUUAAACCUGCAUUUAAAAGAUAAAUAAAUAAAUUCAAAUAUAUAAACGCAUAUAGUCAACGUAUAGCUACAUAUGUAUACAUUGUAUACAUGUAUACAUAGCUACAUGUAUAAAUGUAAAUACAUAUACAUGAUCUAAAUAAGCAUUCUAAAUGCUUAUUUAUCAUAGAUAAAUAUAUCAAAAUAAAUAGAUGCAUAAAUAUAUCAUGGGAUAUA